AGGUCCCACCUGCCCAGUGACAUUAUGGUUCAACGGCCGCGGUAUUUUAACCGUGCAAAGGUAGCGUAAUCACUUGUCUUUUAAAUGAAGACCUGUACGAAAGGCAUUACGAGGGCUUAGCUGUCUCCUUUUUCAAGUCAAUGAAAUUGAUCUCCCCGUGCAGAAGCGGGGAUAGACCCAUAAGACGAGAAGACCCUAUGGAGCUUUAGACACCAAGGCAUAUCAUGUCAAACACUCCCCUAUAAAGAAUAGAACUUAGUGACCAAUGCCCCUGUGUCUUCGGUUGGGGCGACCACGGGGAAACAAACAACCCCCAUGUGGAGUGGGAGCUUAAUUUUCACCUCCUCCUACAACCAAGAGCUGCAGCUCCAAGAAACAGAAUUUCUGACCAAUCUAGAUCCGGCAAUGCCGAUCAACGGACCAAGUUACCCUAGGGAUAACAGCGCAAUCUCCUUUUAGAGCCCAUAUCGACAAGGGGGUUUACGACCUCGAUGUUGGAUCAGGACAUCCUAAUGGUGCAGCCGCUAUUAAGGGUUCGUUUGUUCAACGAUUAAAGUCCUACGUGAUCUGUUUCUCAACACCCGGGGG
rnacentral:rRNA from 1 species